GAUGAAGAACGUAGCGUAAUGCGAUAAGUAGUGUGAAUUGCAGAAUUCAGUGAAUCAUCGAAUCUUUGAACGCACAUUGCGCCCCUUGGUAUUCCAUGGGGCAUGCCUGUUCGAGCGUCAUUUGUACCUUCAAGCUCUGCUUGGUGUUGGGUGUUUGUCUCGCCUCUGCGUGUAGACUCGCCUCAAAACAAUUGGCAGCCGGCGUAUUGAUUUCGGAGCGCAGUACAUCUCGCGCUUUGCACUCAUAACGACGACGUCCAAAAGUACAUUUUUACACUCUUGACCUCGGAUCAGGUAGGGAUACCCGCUGAACUUAAGCAUAUCAAUAAGCGGAGGA
rnacentral:misc_RNA from 1 species